rnacentral:tRNA from 1 species
GCCCAGGUGGCGAAAUCGGUAGACGCAAGGGACUUAAAAUCUCUCUCCGAAUGGAAUGCGGGUUCGAGUCCCGCUCUGGGCACCA